UAGGGAAUCUUCGGCAAUGGACGAAAGUCUGACCGAGCAACGCCGCGUGAGUGAGGAAGGUUUUCGGAUCGUAAAACUCUGUUGUUAGAGAAGAACAAGGACGUUAGUAACUGAACGUCCCCUGACGGUAUCUAACCAGAAAGCCACGGCUAACUACGUGCCAGCAGCCGCGGUAAUACGUAGGUGGCAAGCGUUGUCCGGAUUUAUUGGGCGUAAAGCGAGCGCAGGCGGUUUCUUAAGUCUGAUGUGAAAGCCCCCGGCUCAACCGGGGAGGGUCAUUGGAAACUGGGGGACUUGAGUGCAGAAGAGGAGAGUGGAAUUCCAUGUGUAGCGGUGAAAUGCGUAGAUAUAUGGAGGAACACCAGUGGCGAAGGCGGCUCUCUGGUCUGUAACUGACGCUGAGGCUCGAAAGCGUGGGGAGCAAACAGG
rnacentral:rRNA from 1 species